GGAGGAUUCGCCUAGUGGCCUAUGGCGCACGCUUGGAAAGCGUGUUGGGGUAACACCCUCGGGGGUUCGAAUCCCCCAUCCUCCGCCA
rnacentral:tRNA from 3 species